ACUGUUUGGUCAAAGCUCAUUGCCUCAUUGGAGCCUAAGCUAAAAAAAUUUUUGUUUUGGCCCACUGCCUACUAUGACCCAAGGCACUCUUGCGAAAUGCCCACUGCCUACUCUGACCAAAGGCACUCUUGUGAAAGACCCACUGCCUGCUGUGACAAAGGCGCUCCUACGAAAGGCCCCAGCCUGCGUCGAAUGUUGGUCUCAAGUCUCCAGCAUCUAUCCAGCAUUUUUAUCCCUCAAUGACCUAGUCUGUUUCUCAGCCCCAGUAGCACCACCGUGGCCCGAAAUUCCUUCGGCAAAAUUUUUCCCAAUCAUCGACCCAUUCUGCAACCCCAGUCCCUUGUCUUUUAAAUUUCCAAUAAAAACAUCCUUUUUAAACCGAAUGACACCUCCAUAUCUGUAACUUACGCCUCCAUAUCCAGUGAGGAUAAAGCUGCAAAUCUAGAACCCUCCAAUUUUUUUUUCGAAAUUUUAGCUUUUAAAAUACGAUUCCUGUUCUGAUUGCGCUUAGAUUUGCACUCAACCACCAUCCACGGGCCAAAGGCUUUGCCCAUCGUCACCGGAACUUCAACCGUCUUCACUGGCACUGAUUCAUUGAUCGUUAAGCUUGUAAAAUUCUCUCCACCACCGUGACUACUCCGAUCUGUCAUAGAAGAAGGACAUCAACUUUUAAGAUGACCAUAUUUACCACACCUCAGAUUUGAGAAGCGGAUCCAGGCUAACACCCCACUUGGGAAUGGUCUUGAUGGGUCAAAGUCUAUCGUCCACGGUUGGACCUUAGGUCAACGCUGUGUCAUAAUCAACCUUGCUCUGAAAUUGGACAAGGAAAUCCCCAACCAUAGUGGGCUUGGAGUCGUGAGGGAAUUGAGUGGCCACCAUUACGAAAGUUUGGUUUUCUUACGGUGAACUGGACAUCCUAUUAUUUACGUUGAGGUUUGGGUUUUUAAAUAUAAUAAGGCUGCUUAAUUAUUUUUGAUGGUUUUGAUAUGUAUUACUAAGAUAGGUAUUACUUAUUUUAACUGUUGAAAUUGGAUAGCGUUAGGGCACGUUUUCAAAAAAAAAAAACAA